rnacentral:rRNA from 1 species
GCCCGCUCAGAAACUCAAAGGAAGUUGACGGGGCCCGCACAAGCGGUGGGGCGAUGUGGUUUAAUUCGAUGAUACGCGAGGAACCUUACCUGGGCUCAAAUGUAUGUUGACGUAUUCUGAAAGGGAUACUUCUUCGGACAAUAUACAAGGUGCUGCAUGGUUGUCGUCAGCUCGUGCCGUGAGGUGUCGGGUUAAGUCCCGCAACGAGCGCAACCCUUGUGUUUAGUUGCAAACAGGUCAAGCUGUGCACUCUAGACAGACUGCCGUGGACAACACGGAGGAAGGUGGGGAUGACGUCAAAUCAUCAUGCCCCUUAUGAUCUGGGCUACACACGUGCUACAAUGGCCGGUACAACGGGCAGCGAAGGAGCGAUCCGGAGCGAAUCCUAAAAAGCCGGUCCCAGUUCGGAUUGCAGGCUGAAACUCGCCUACAUGAAGUUGGAGUUGCUAGUAAUCGCGAAUCAGAAUGUCGCGGUGAAUGCGUUCCCGGGUCUU